rnacentral:lncRNA from 1 species
CAGCCCCGCUCCAGGGCUCCGGGGCUUCCCCUCGGUGCCAGCAGAUGGCAAUCCCUGCCCAGGCACUGCUCGGGCUCCUCCGGAGCUCCCCUUCCCUGCCUGCCCAGCUCCCGAGGGUCCGGAGGUGCUCCUGGAAUCCACCAGCAGCUGGGAAUCCACUCCCAGCCCCCGCCCACGACCCAGAUCCAGCACCUGGAGCUUCCAGCAGCUCCCAGGAAAAAGGACUGUGGGCAAAAUCUCCUGGGAUUUUUAUUAGGGAUUGUGUGAGUCUGACUUUGAUCACUCUGCAUGGAGGAGCUGGAAAAGUGGGAUCCUCUGGAACAGGUGGCAGAAGAACAGCACAGGCACUGAGCUCUGGAGGGAGAGGGUGCAGGAGGAACCAGGAGCAGCAAAAAGGGGAAGGGAACAGAAGGCAGGUGGAAAGAGUCAAUACAGAACAGAGGGAAAGCAAAGCAUAGCCCUGGCUGAGGGGACAGGGCUGG